ensembl:lncRNA
GAGAGGAGCAGCUUCCAAAGUGAAGAUGAAUUCUCUCAUGCCAGACUGCACUUCUAAGUGUCGAUCUCUACAGCAUGCUUUGGAUGUUAUUUCUGUAGUAACCAGAGGAAGUGAAGGCCAGAUCAAAGCUUUUCUUUCUUCUUACUGCUACAAUGCUGCAACUAUAAAGGAUGCCUUUGGUAGAAAUGUUCUACAUCUUGCUUCAUCCUGUGGCAAAAAAGGUGUGCUGGAUUGGUUGGCUGAGACCAAAGGAGUGGAUCUCUUGGCAAAAGACAAAGAGUCUGGAUGGACAGCUUUGCACAGAAGUAUAUUUUAUGGAUACAUUGAUUGUGUUUUGUCACUACUGAAGCAUGGUGUUAGUCUGUACAUUCAGGAUAAAGAAGGCUUAUCAGCCUUGGAUCUUGUGAUGAAAGACAGACCAGUUCAUGUGGUGUUCAAGAAAACUGAUCUCACAGAAGUCUACACGUGGGGAAACAAUAUAAAUUUUACAUUGGGUCAUGGAGGUCAACAGAGUAAACAUCAUCCUGAAUUGGUGGACCUCUUUCCUCGUAACAGCGUGUAUAUCAAACAGGUGGUACUCUGCAAAUUCCACUCGGUGUUCCUUUCCCACAAAGGUCAAAUUUAUACGUGUGGACAUGGACAAGGAGGGCGCCUAGGACAUGGUGAUGAGCAAACAUGCCUGGUUCCAAGACUUGUGGAAAGCUUAAGUAGUCACCAGUGCUCCCAAAUAGCAGCAGCUAAAGAUCAUACAGUUGUUUUAACAGAAGAUGGAUGUGUUUACACGUUUGGUCUAAAUACUUUCCACCAGUUAGGUAUUCUUCCUCCUCCUGCUAAUUGCAGUGUUCCUAGACAGGUUCAGGCAAAAAACCUGAAAGGUAGAAUGGUGAUUGGAGUGGCUGCAGGCAGAUUCCAUACAGUGCUAUGGACUAAGGAAGCAGUGUAUACCAUGGGGCUGAAUGGAGGCCAACUAGGUUAUCUGCUGGAUCCUAAUGGAGAAAAGUGUGUAACUGCGCCUCGACAAGUUUCUGCUCUACACCAUAAAGAUAUUUCUGUGUCGCUGGUGUCUGCAAGUGAUGGUGCUACAGUGUGUGUUACUGAAAGAGGGGAUAUCUAUUUACUUGCAGACUAUCAGUGCAAAAAGAUUGCUUCGAAACAGCUGAACCUUAAAAAAGUUUUAGUUAAUGGGGGCUAUUUGGAAUACAAGGUAGAUACCCAGCAUCUUAAAGAAAACGGGGGUCAGAAGAUCUGCAUUUUAGCACUGGAUGAAGCUGGAAGAAUUUUUUGCUGGAAGUCAUCUAAUAAUUCCAUGAAGCAAUGUCGUUGGGUAUACGGCCGACAAGUCUUCAUGUCUGAUGUUGCUUUGAAUAGGAACGAAAUGAUGUUUGUCACACAGGAUGGUGAAGCCUUUACUGGCAAGUGGCUAGAGGAAGGAAGAAAAAUGCGAGAGAAGAAAGCAGAGCUAGUAUCAAGCCUUCCAAAUGCUUCCACUGAAAUGUCUUGUUCAUAUGAUACAAACAAUGUGUAUGAAAGAAUUCGACUUCAGAAACUUGCUUUUGUCCACCGAGCUGUUAGUAUUUCCACAGAUCCUAAUGGAUGCAAUUUUGCUGUUUUACAAUCAGACCCUAAAACAAGUCUCUAUGAAAUUCCGAGUGUAUCACUAUCAAGUUUUGGAGAAGAUUUUGGCAAGCUCUUAGAUGAAACAGAUGAAAUGGACAGCAUCCAUGAUGUGACUCUUCAGAUUGGCACCAGAACUUACGCUGUGCACAAAUACAUCUUGGCUGUACGCUCUGACUUCUUCAAGAAGCUGUUUGUUUCCAGUGAUAGUCAGCUGGAAACUCCAGAUGUCUACCGUAAAGAUGAAGAUGCUGUUGGAUGUGAUCUGUAUGUAAUAGAGAAAGUUCAUCCAGAUCUGUUUGCAUACCUUCUGCAGUUCAUAUACACUGAUACUUGUGAUCUUCUGACUCAUGGUUACAAACCAAAAAUCCUACAUAAAGAAAAAUCAGAAGAGUAUCAAGAUACUUUAAUUUCUAACCUGAACAAAAUGAGUUUUGAUGAAGAUGUUAAUAGGAAGUCUGCAUUUGAAAUUUACAGAAAUAAUCAAGUGCAAGUUUUAAAUGAAAAACAGAAGAACAAAUCUAAAAAAGGCAAAAUUGUAGGUGAAGAAGCUAAUCUCAUAAAAAUGUUGCAGAGCGCUGCAAAAAAAUUUGGACUCAGCAAUUUAAGUGGAAGAUUGGAUGGAGUCAGGUUAGAAAAUGGAAAAAUUAAUGUUGUCAACAGGAAGAAUGGGAACAAACUGAAGUUUAAUCAGAAAAAAUGUUCAUACCUCUGCGAUGUGACGUUGAAGUCUUCAGAUGGAAAGGAAUUCCCUUGUCAUAAGUGUGUACUUUGUGCAAGACUUGAUUAUUUUCACAGCAUGUUAAGCAGCUCCUGGAUUGAGGCUUCCUCUUGUUCUGCUCUGGAAAUGCCAAUACAUUCUGACAUACUGCAGAUAAUAGUAGAUUACCUGUAUACAGAUGAAGCUCUUGCAAUAAAAGAUUCUCAAAAUGUGGAAUUCAUAUGCAAUGUUCUUGUGGUAGCAGACCAACUUCUUAUAUCCAGGCUCAAAGAGAUAUGUGAAGUAGCCAUUGCAGAAAAACUUACUUUAAAGAAUGCUGCUGAGUUGCUGGAGUUUUCAGCAAUGUAUAAUGCUGAACAGUUGAAACUGUCCUGCCUGCAGUUCAUAGGACUCAAUAUGGCAGCUUUGCUUGAAACGAGGACUCUGGAUGUCUUAAGUGAUGAAGUUGUAAAGGAUCUUUCUGUUUAUUACAGGAAAAUGAUUCCUGCUAUGGUCAGGAGAGUAAUUACGCCAUAUCCAGAUGGACCUGACUUAAGUUGUUUUGAGCCUGAAGAGGGAGAGAACUUUGUUUUUAUAAGGGAAGAAAUGAAUACAGAACAGAAUUCUCAGGAAGCUCUUUUCAAAAGGGCAAAAACUAAAGCAAAAAAGAAGCCACGGAAACGCUCUGACAGCUCUGGUGGAUAUAAUCUCUCAGACAUUAUUCAGAGUCCAGCCUCUACAGGCUCCAUAAAACUGGAUAAAACCAACUCAGUAGAAUCUCUUCCAGAACUCCUAACAUCUGACUCAGAAGGUAGUUACGCAGGAGUGAGUAGCCCUAGAGACUUGCAGUCCCCUGACUUCACAAAAGUUUUUCAUCCAGAGAGGACUGAGAUGAAAGAUAAAGCAUACAGUCUGGUUAUGAAAGCCUCUCAACAGAACAAGGAGAUGAAGUCAUACAAGGGAUCAUUGGCAUUGACACAGUCUGUUCCACAGUCCAUUCCCAGUACCAAAACCAGCUCUGCAACCUCUCCCAAUUGGGUAGCAAGCAGUUUCAGCCCUGCCAGCCCUCCUGCUAUGGAUCUAAGAACUAUAAUGGAAAUAGAAGAAAAUAUGCAGAAAAGUGGAACUAUGCCAAAGACAAAUUCAAGGUCAUCUUCAUUGCAUUCUGCUUUGCCAAAAUCAUUCCGUGAUCUUGUAAUGGAGGAAGAAAAAUACAUGAGUGCAAAUAAUUUGCCUGGUACUGCUAUCAAGAGAGCUGGAUGUAAAGGAGCUGAGGAUUCAGCAGUCCAAAGCACCACAAGAUGCGUGGCUCGAAGUAGCCCAGGUCCGGAAGGCCACGUUUUGGAUUCUCCUCAGCUAGAGAGCCAUAAUCCUUGGUUGGCAACAUCACCAACUAACUCUCCUGUCAUGGCACCUGUCAUGUUUGCAUCUAUUGUAGAGGAAGAGCGCCAGCAAGAAGCUGCUCUUAUUAGGAGCAGAGAAAAACCCUUGGCUUUGAUCCAGAUUGAGGAGUGUGCUAUUCAAGAUUUGUUAAUCCAUUAUGAAGCUUUUGACAACCCUGAUGAAUUUGUGACUGUUGAAAGGGCUCCACAGGGACCUAUGGCCACACCUAUGUGGAACAAGCACUAAUUCGUACUGUUAACAGCCCAUAUUAUACGUGCACUUCUGAAAUCCUUAUUACAAGCAGAAUGAGACUGGUAAAACAUAAAUCAUGUAACUUUUAACAUCAGCAUUAAAAAUUGCACAUAAUCAGUAGGUAUUUGGUAGAGAUAAUGGAAGUAAUUUGUUCACUGUGUCUUUCACCCACAGCAUAUAUUGUAUGUAUGGUUUGAGAGAAUUUCUUUAACAAGCCCUGUUUAAUUAGUAGUGUCACAUGAAGAUGUAGAUUGGAAAUGCGUUUGCUAAUUUAAAUUGUAAAGGUUUUUUGUUGAACUUACAGGUGGCUGAAAAGCAAGUGCUUAUUUUGUGAUUUAAUGUGGAAUUGAUUGUGCAGAAUUAUACAUCUUUAAAGUUUAUUUGGGGGGUUACAUUUUUCAGAGCUUUCUGGCAAAUUGGGAAUAUAGCAAAAAGUUCGUGCUUGAACUUGAUGUAAAAGUACAGUUUGAUAAUGCAGUUUUCCUUAACUAAUGUAAGUAUGUGCUGGUUUUCUGACUGCUGUGACCAGUACGUUUUACUGUUAUGCUCCACAAUGAACUUCUGUGCUGUACCUAACCAUUGCCUGCUCUCAGUUUGGUUAUGCAUGUUCUUUUCACUGUUGUGAGACUGGCCUUUGAGCAGUCAGUUCCAUUGUGAAGUACACAGUUGAAUACAACGUGGUGGCACUUAAUUAGCUCAUCUGUAGUCUUAUUCUGGUAAAUAUGGUACAGUUUUAGAACCACAGUGUUUAAGGUACGAUUCACUUGAAGUGCUGAGGAAAUGCAAGGUCCAUACGUUCAUUUUUAAAGCUAAAGCUACCGAGAUGAAUGCUUGAUUGUGGAAUUUGUAAAUGCGUAACCUUGCAAAGAUUAUCAUAGGUGGCUUUCAGCAUUGUGUUUUCUGAAGUUCUCUGUGCCUGGUUUAAAAAAUUUAUAUAUGUAUGUAAAAGAAAAGAAAAAAGGAUAGCCUUAUCUACAGUAUUCUGUUUAGUUUGUCUGUUUGCAUAGGUGUGUUUGAACUUCUACUUUUUCAAUAGUGUCAAUACUCACAAACUCUGGAAAACUGGAAUUGAAAGAGCUGCAGAUGAUGAAUGUAGAGAAUUGAUCACUGUGUGAUAAGAGUUGAGUCUUGAAAAAACGCUGUGUAGAUAUGUCUAAUGGUUUCAGGUUAAGCUACACCAAAAAAUCCUCCACAAAAGUUGUAAACAAAUGCAAUAAACCAUAAAACCUUGAUUUACCCA